rnacentral:rRNA from 1 species
UCGAGAAUCUUGGGCAAUGCACGAAAGUGUGACCCAGCGACGCCGCGUGAUGGAUGAAGGCCCUCUGGGUUGUAAACAUCUUUUAUGGGGAAAGAAUAAAUGACGGUACCCCAUGAAUAAGCCACGGCUAACUACGUGCCAGCAGCCGCGGUAAUACGUAGGUGGCAAGCGUUGUCCGGAUUUACUGGGCGUAAAGCGUAUGCAGGCGGAUGGUUAAGUAGGAAGUGAAAGGUUGGAGCUCAACUCUAACACUGCUUCCUAUACUGGCCGUCUUGAGUGGUGGAGAGGAAAGCGGAACAAGUUGUGUAGCGGUGAAAUGCGUUGAUAUAACUUGGAACACCAAUGGCGAAAGCAGCUUUCUGGACACAAACUGACGCUGAGAUACGAAAGCUAAGGUAGC